GUAUAAAAGAACACCUUGUAGUUUCACACUGCGAAGUAAAACAUGGAGCAAAAGUGAGUGUACUCUGCCCACCUCGAGGUGCCUGGCUUGCAUUUUUCUGUUGUUUUCUUUGGCCGCUCUCCUGUUUCCCACACAGAUACGGACUUAGCCCUUGCACCCGGGGACCAGAUAGAGGGUGUAGCUGUGUGUUUCCCAGGGUAGGAAAAUUUUCCUGGAUCAAGGAUUUUAAGAGCUUAAUACUACUCCGUGAAGUCCUGCUUUUUUGUACACUGUAAGGAUGGAAUCCUGACUGGCAUCCCUCAUAAACUGUUCUGCUAAUGCUUCUGGGGAUAAACUUGAGCGGUGCAGCUGAUGCUGCCAAGGCUCUGGGUGCAUUUUGUCAGCUGAUUCCGGACGUGUUUACCGCCUCCUUCCUGAGGAGACUUGCUCAACUCUCGGCUCCCACGAAGAGCCUGGCAGUGGGACUUGUCCCUGCCCUGCCACAUGGAAGGACGGGGUCAUUCUGGGGGCCUCGUUCCCAUGCCUGCUCCUCGCUCCAUCUUUCCCCUCUUCUCUCUUCCUGUUUCUGCUUCUUUGGCUCUGCUUUCUCUUGGUUUUGGUGGAGAGUUGAGCUCAUUUCACACAUGUGAUCACUUGAUGUAGUGCAUUCCUAACUUUUCAGGUCUGGGGUGUUAACGACAGCAGGCUCUGUUCUGGCCUUUAGCAGGAGCUGGUGCUCAGAGUGAGAAAUAGGAGCAGCACCUUGGUGUGUGAAGUGAAUGGUGAGAGCUAAGCAUCUUCUUACCUGAGGGGUGGAUGGAGCGGGGACAACAAGGGGUUACUGAUCCCUGGUGCUUGGGGAAGAUCCGAUGAUGACUGUUUCUACAGUGGCUUAAGGCAGCUGGCUCCCUGUGCCCCUCUCUUCACCUUCGGGGAGGAAACGUCAUCACCACAGAGCAUGAAUUUGCCCGUGGAGUCUUUCUUCCCUGCUCAUACCCAUGGCUGUGAGGGACCCCAGCUGACCACAGCUCUGCUGACCCCUGGGCCUGUUCUUCCCAGAAUGCCACCUCUGAGUCUCCCUCAGAUCUGCUCAUAGCCCUUUGCCACCAUCCUCUCGGAUGUCCUCCAGGAGGCUGAGCCAGGAGGAUCGAAAGUUCCAAGACAGCCUGAGCAGCUUAGCAAGACCCCGUUUCAAAACGAAAAAUAAACAUGACAGGGGAUGCAGCGCAGUAGGGUGUGCCCCUGAGUCCCAUCCCCAGUACCAGUCAAAACAAGCAAGUGAACAAGCAAAACCAUUCACUCUUCCCAUUUCCAAUAUGGCCUAGUUCCAUAUACCUGGGCCCUCCUCAUCCAACACCACCAAAGCACACAUGGCCUGGCACUGUCCUGACCCCACACUCCUCCUCAUACCCUGC
rnacentral:lncRNA from 1 species